rnacentral:rRNA from 1 species
ACGACGCUUGCGGCGUGCCUAAGAAUGCAAGUCGAGCGAGGUUAGAGAGCUUGCUCUCGAAGCCUAGCGGCGAACGGUCGCGUAACACGUAAGCAACCUGCCCCAAAGACCGGGAUAGCCCGCCGAAAGGUGGAUUAAUACCGGAUGUGGAAGCGGAUUCGCAUGUAUCUGCUUUUAAACCAGGCAACUGGCUUUGGGAUGGGCUUGCGGCCUAUCAGCUAGUUGGUGGGGUAAUGGCCUACCAAGGCGACGACGGGUAGCUGGUCUGAGAGGAUGGUCAGCCGGACUGGGACUGAGAUACGGCCCAGACUCCUACGGGGGGCAGCAAUUAGGAAUCUUGCGCAAUGGGGGAAACCCUGACGCAGCGACGCCGCGUGCAGGAUGACGGCCUUCGGGUUGUAAACUGCUUUUAAGAAGGAAGAAGUUCUGACGGUACUUCUUGAAUAAGCCCCGGCUAACUACGUG